rnacentral:rRNA from 1 species
GACGGAGGGGGCAAGCGUUGUCCGGACUUACUGGGCGUAAAGCGCACGUAGGCGGUUUGGAACGUCGGUGCUGAAAGCGCCGGGCUUAACCCGGCGAGGCGUGCCGAUACGGCCAGACUCGAGGCAGGCAGAGGGUGGCGGAAUUCCCGGUGUAGAGGUGAAAUUCGUAGAUAUCGGGAGGAACACCGGUGGCGAAGGCGGCGACCUGGGUAGAUACUGACGCUGAGGUGCGAAAGCGUGGGGAGCAAACAGG